rnacentral:rRNA from 1 species
GGGACAACAGUUGGAAACGACUGCUAAUACCGCAUAAUCCCUGAGGGGGAAAGAUUUAUCGCUUUAAGAUUGGCCCGCGGAAGAUUAGGUAGUUGGUGGGGUAAAGGCCUACCAAGCCGACGAUCUAUAGCUGGUCUGAGAGGACGAACAGCCACAUUGGAACUGAGACACGGUCCAGACUCCUACGGGAGGCAGCAGUGAGGAAUAUUGGGCAAUGGAGGAAACUCUGACCCAGCCAUGCCGCGUGAGUGAAGAAGGUUUUCGAAUUGUAAAGCUCUUUCGGAUGGGACGAUGAUGACGGUACCAUCUAAAGAAGCCCCGGCAAACUUCGUGCCAGCAGCCGCGGUAAUACGAAGGGGGUAAGCGUUGUUCGGAAUUACUGGGCGUAAAGGGUGUGUAGGCGGAUUUGUAAGAUAGUGGUGAAAUACCUGAGCUCAACUUAGGAAUUGCCAUUAUAACUAUAGAUCUGGAGUGACAGAGAGGAUAUUGGAAUACCCAGUGUAGAGGUGAAAUUCGUAGAUAUUGGGUAGAACACCAGUGGCGAAGGCGAGUAUCUGGCUGUCAACUGACGCUGAGGCACGAAAGCAUGGGGAUCAAACAGGAUUAGAUACCCUGGUAGUCCAUGCUGUAAACGAUGAAUGCUAGUUGUCGGCAAAAGCCGGUGACGCAG